rnacentral:misc_RNA from 1 species
GAUGAAGAACGUAGCGAAAUGCGAUAAGUAAUGUGAAUUGCAGAAUUCAGUGAAUCAUCGAAUCUUUGAACGCACAUUGCGCCCGCCAGUAUUCUGGCGGGCAUGCCUGUUCGAGCGUCAUUUCAACCCUCAAGCCCCAGUGGCCUGGUGUUGAGGACCGGCGACCUCGCCCGGGGACACCUCGCGUGCCCCCCGGUGCGUCCGCCGCCCCCGAAAUGAAUUGGCGGCCCCGUCGCGGCCUCCUCUGCGUAGUAGCACAACCUCGCAGCGGGAGCGCGACGCGGCCACUGCCGUAAAACGCCCAACUUUUUUAGAGUUGACCUCGGAUCAGGUAGGAAUACCCGCUGAACUUAAGCAUAUCAAUAAGCGGAGGA